rnacentral:rRNA from 1 species
UACAGAGGGGGCGAGCGUUGUUCGGAAUUACUGGGCGUAAAGGGCGCGUAGGCGGCCUUCUAAGUCGAACGUGAAAUCCCCGGGCUCAACCCGGGAACUGCGUCCGAUACUGGGAGGCUUGAAUCCGGGAGAGGGAUGUGGAAUUCCAGGUGUAGCGGUGAAAUGCGUAGAUAUCUGGAGGAACACCGGUGGCGUAGGCGACUAGCUGGGCUGUAACUGACGCUGAGGAACGAAAGCCAGGGGAGCGAAUGGG